AGGAUGAACGCUGGCGGCGUGCCUAAUACAUGCAAGUCGAGCGGUAAGGCCCCUUCGGGGGUACACGAGCGGCGGACGGCUGAGUAACACGUAGGAACGUACCCCAAACUGAGGGAUAAGCACCAGAAAUGGUGUCUAAUACCGCAUGUGGUCUUCGGAUUAAAGCUUCGGCGGUUUGGGAACGGCCUGCGCAUGAUUAGCUUGUUGGUGAGGUAAAAGCUUACCAAGGCGACGAUCAUUAGCUGGUCUGAGAGGAUGAUCAGCCAGACUGGGACUGAGAACGGCCCAGACUCCUACGGGAGGCAGCAGUAGGGAAUUUCCACAAUGGGCGAAAGCCUGAUGGAGCAACGCCGCGUGCAGGACGAAGGCCUUCGGGUUGUAAACUGCUUUUAUAUGUGAAGAUUAUGACGGUAGCAUAUAGAAUAAGGAUCGGCUAACUCCGUGCCAGCAGCCGC
rnacentral:rRNA from 1 species